UUAAGCGAACGGCAGUCGAGGAGUCGGUUAUCAGUCAGUUACAGCGAGUCGCGGAUGAUGAAAAGCGAUCUGAACUGGUAGCUAAAAGUCGAUUACUAGUGAGAAGUUGCGUGAAGCAAUUUCCGGGUGUACCCGAUAACGUACCAACAUAUCGUCAAUAAAUUUGGCCGUAUGUAAGUGGUGAGUCUGACUGGCUCGCAAAUGAGGUGGUACCGCGUGAAGACGUCCUUUUA
rnacentral:ncRNA from 1 species